GAGACUUUUCACGUUUUUGGCCAUUUUCAAGUACGUCGGCCUCCCCCCUCCCCCCAUGAUCAAUGUUGGAAAAAGCGGGUUGAAUUUUCUCUUUUCAGUCAUCCACACAACAUUGAAUUGGGGGUGAGGGGGGCAUUUAUGCGUUUGUCUCAAUAAUUUUUGCUCCUGAUUGUCUCUAUUUGUACUUUUGAAUGAAACGUAAUUCGUUCAUGUUGAUUCAACUUAUUGCUCCAGGAAAGACGCUGACUUGGAUUUCUUGCUUAAUGAAUCUUUUGCUAUAUAAUAUUUUUUCUCAGUGGUUUUCUAUAAUUGAGUACUUCAUGUAAAAAAAUAUAGGUGAUCUUGAGAACUAUAGCUAUUUUUGUUUGGAAAGGACGUCGAUAAUUGACGAAUAUAUACAUUGGAAGAAGAUUAUGAAAUAAUGAAUAAAUUUCAGACAAUUUUUCCCCAUGGUUGACAAUCAUGAGUAUAUUUUUU